ACUCAAAGGAAUUGACGGGGGCCCGCACAAGCGGUGGAGCAUGUGGUUUAAUUCGACGCAACGCGAAGAACCUUACCUGGGCUCGAACGGCUCACGAAUGGCUUUGGAAACAGAGCAGUUCCCGCAAGGGACGGGAGUCGAGGUGCUGCAUGGCUGUCGUCAGCUCGUGUCGUGAGAUGUUGGGUUAAGUCCCGCAACGAGCGCAACCCUUGUCCUGUGUUGCAACUCGCAAGAGGCACUCUCAGGAGACCGCCAGCGAUAAGCUGGAGGAAGGUGGGGAUGACGUCAAGUCAUCAUGGCCUUUAUGUCCAGGGCUACACACGUGCUACAAUGGACGGUACAGACUGUUGCAAACCCGCGAGGGGGAGCUAAUCGGAAAAAACCGUUCUCAGUUCGGAUUGCAGGCUGCAACUCGCCUGCAUGAAGCUGGAAUCGCUAGUAAUGGUAUAUCAGAACGAUACCGUGAAUACGUUCCCGGGCCUUGCACACACCGCCCGU
rnacentral:rRNA from 1 species